rnacentral:lncRNA from 1 species
UAUGAAUUUGCGUCUUCUGCUCUGGACAGACAAAGAAUUAAUCAGAUAUAAGUUAGAGAAAGCUUCCGACAUCUAAACAGAUGAAGAUCAAUUGAUAAAUCAACCCAGGAUUCACCAUACUUUCAAGACUGUGGUCCUGUGAACACUUUCUACUCAUGCUCGGGUCUCAGAUGACAUUCCACUGUUUUGGGAAACUGCAGUACAGUUAAGAACAUGUAUGACUGAAAGAUUAGGGCCAAGCUCAGAAGUUGAUAGCCUUUGUUAAUCCUGCUACAAAUGUCUACAGCAGAAGUCAUUAUUGCUGUCUUUAUCUAAAGCUCAUGUUGUUCGCCUUUUUUUUUUUUAGGAAUUAAAUUAGACUUAUGGUAAUCGAGAGAGGAAAAAAAUACCGCUCAGUAUUCUGUGUUAGGUUCGUAGUUUUACAAGAUACGUUCUGAUUAUGACAUAAAUAUAUCAGUUGGGUGGAAGACUGAAUCUAUUUUCAUAAUCAUAUCCUAUCCUAUCCCAUCUGACUGCUGUCUAAUAUACUUACAUUUUUGAAUCUUCUAUAUGGAUAAUUUGGAAAAGGAAGAUCUUGUGAGGGAGUUCCACGCGUUCCCAGUUCUAUUUCAAUGGAAAUAGAGUGAUGUAUACCUAAGCCUGCAUGUACACCUUGGCAGCAUGGGGAUGGGACAGUCUAAACAGUUGACUUGUUUACUAUUUUGAAUUUUGCUGUCUAUUUUUGCAAAUGUGUGUGUGUGUGAUCUGUAACCGUCUGUGGGUAGCUCUGCUGAAGGCUUGAGCCCCACAGUCCUAAGCU